rnacentral:tRNA from 1 species
GGCAAGAUGGCCGAGUUGGUCCAAGGCGUGAGGUUAAGGUCCACCUUAAUACCACUCUCUUAGAGUUUCCUCAUCAUCGUAUGAUGGCGUGGGUUCGAAUCCCACUCUUGUCA